AAAUCAAUCUCUUCAUCUGUCAGCCCUGGGGGGAGAAGAGGACAUAAUUGCAGGUGAAUACCUUUUGCCACUGUCCCUGGAUGCAACGAAAUCUUCAUUGAGAAAAGACCCUGAGAGCCACAGAGUGCCUAGCAUCCUGAUUUCAGAUCCGACAAAUCAGGAUAUUCUGCUGGAUUUACCACCACGUAACAGCCAGGGAUGUGACUGCUCUCUCAGUUUCCAUUAUUGUUCUCCAACUGCGUACUCUUACGGUGGCAGCCAAGGUGAUCCUGUAAAAGCUUAAGUCAGACCAUUUAAGUCCUCUGCUUAAACCCUAUGAUGGUCUCCAUUUUAUUAAAAGAGUAAAACCAAAGUCUUCCUGUGUAUCAGUGCCGCUCUGCACAGCCUCACCUCCUACCAACGCUGUGUCUUCAGCUCUCACUGUGACCGGCCUUGCCCGCACUGUGGCCUCCUUUCUGUUCCUAGAAUUUGCCAGGCGAGCUCCCACUUCAGGCUUUCGUACAGUUGGUUCCCUUUUCCAGGAACUCUUUCUGCCCAGAAAUCUGCAUGGCUUGCUUCCUCCUUUUCUUCAAGUUUUUGCUUAAAUGUCACCUUGGUGGAGACUUUCCAGACCAUUCCAUUUAAAAUCAUAACCUUCUAAGAGCUCUCUAUUGCUCUUACUCCCCUUACAUUACGGUUACAUUUUCUUCCCCUAACGGUCUCCUUUCCUUCCCACCACUAGAAUGGAAGCUCCCUGAAGGCAGAGAUGGGGCCUAUUUCAUUCACUGCUAUAUUCGCAGGACCUAGAAUACUGCCUAGAUUCUAUGGGCAUUUACGCAGGUGUUCAACGAAACUGUGCAGAAGAAAUAUAUCAAUGGAAGUCCAAUAUGCAAAACAGCUGCUCAGGUUUGGGGAAAGCCAGCUGGCACAUGGAGCAAACCCAGAGUCCAACUUUCUUGACCGCUCUUUGCCCUUGAAACAUCUCUUUAGAAUCUCCAAGGAGUCCCAGAGGUGAAUGUAAAACUGUGUAUUCACCCUGCACUAUGGCAAACUAGUUUGUUCCCCAGUCGGACAGGCCUUGUACUCUUCAGUCCCCUCCCCUGAUGCUCCACGCACCGCACACUCCUUCCAAUCCUACUCCAGUCUUGUCCCUUGCCCUGGGUUCUCUCUUCCACCACCGGAGUCUCCUCUGGUCACCCCCCUGCCAGAUCACAUGUCUGCAGUGACUGCCAUCUAUACAGUAUUCCUCUGGUUGUCAAAUAUAGGUAGCUUUGUAACCUUCCUUUUGUCUUGGAUGGCUUUCUAAGGAGUCUAACAUUGUUGAACUUUGACUUUUACUGUCUUACUCACUGCUGUAUCCCCAAAGCUUAACAUAUGGAUCAAACUGUCAAGCGCAGUCACUGAACAGUUGUUCAGUGCGUCAGUAAACAUGAAUAAAGCCUACUGGUAUUUAA